rnacentral:rRNA from 1 species
CAUGCAAGUCGUUCGAGGUGCUUUUGUAGCAAUACGAGAGUAUCCUAGUGGCGAACGGGUGAGUAACGCGUUGGUGACCUGCCCCAAAGUGUGGGAUAACAGUCCGAAAGGAUUGCUAAUACCGCAUGUGGUUGUCGGAAUUAGAAACCGAUUUCUAAAGCAGCAAUGCGCUUUGGGAGGGACCUGCGUCCCAUCAGCUAGUUGGUGAGGUAACGGCUCACCAAGGCGACGACGGGUAGGGGACCUGAGAGGGUGGCCCCCCACAAUGGAACUGAAACACGGUCCAUACACCUACGGGUGGCAGCAGUAGGGAAUAUUGCUCAAUGGGCGAAAGCCUGAAGCAGCAACGCCGCGUGUGCGAUGAAGGCCUUCGGGUCGUAAAGCACUUUUCUGAGAGAUGAGAAAGGACAGUAUCUCAGGAAUAAGUCUCGGCUAACUACGUGCCAGCAGCCGCGGUAAAACGUAGGAGGCGAGCGUUAUCCGGAUUCACUGGGCGUAAAGCGCAUGCAGGCGGUUCGGUAAGUUGGGCGUGAAAUCUCCUGGCUUAACUGGGAGAGGUCGUUCAAUACUACCGGGCUAGAGAGUGGUA